CUCGCGUCUGCCCCCGUCCCCUCAGUCCUCUCGCACGCCCGUCUCCCCCCUUCAUCACCUCGUAUGGAGCUGUGCCCCAGAUCCAAAUUGGGUCCAUCUCUGGCCUCCUGGACAGCAUGAGGAUGCGAAGGGCAAUGCGAGAACGCCAAUUGCCCGAUUCCAUCUCUUAUUCCGCAGAUGGUGGUGCAGGUAGCAUGUAUGGAUGGGUAAUUUACAUCCGAUUUGCAUCUACCUCUUCUGGACACCCUCAGGUCGUCCUAUGCUGUUGAUACAGCCGUUGAGGAAAUCAUGAAUCUGCCCAAGUGCCCAGAAUAUCAUUUUUUUCUUUAGCUGUAUAUUGCUUUUGAGGUUUGACCAUGUAUCCUCCAGUCAAGUUACUAGCAGGAGCUAGCUCUGCCUUUCAUUAAAGAUAGAAAAGAGAUUUAUGUAUAAGCAAAACAAAAGGGUGCCAAGACCAGGGUUCACAUUAUCACCGAUAGAUUUCCCAUAACUUCAAUAUAUCUGUUUUGCCUGCAGGGUCCGAUAGAAUUAAUUUAUCACCAAAAAUAUCGGUGGUCCCCACUAUUUGUUAUUUUAUGAGCGCUAGCGUACACUUUUGUCCUACUUGCGGAUUCCCCUACCCUCAUUUUUAUACAUUAUUAUGUGUCUUUUUAAAAUUGCAUAGUUCGGAGAGAAUCUAUAUUUAUUUCUGCAUAAAUUGAGUUUAUUUUAAUAAAUUUUGUCCGAAAAAAUUUCUUUAUCACCAAUAGAAUUCCGAUAUAUCCAAUAUUCCCGUUUAUCACUAACCUCUAAUAUUUUUUUAUUUAUCGAUAAUGUAAACGCUGGCCAAGACCCACCCCGGAGCACUCACCGCCCACAGUAGGCCUCAAGCGAGGCCGCCCCUGGAUAGAGACACAAGAUAACUUUUGUUUGCGCUUUAUAACAAUCAAUUUGCAGGAUAACUAUGAUUGGUUGGGAGUUAGGAGUUUCAUUGUUGUCACCUAGGGAAAGAUAGGGCACAAAAACAAGUGACCCUGAGAAUGGCCACCUAAGCAUAUGAGAUUUUGUAUUUUGGUUUUAGGUGUGUGAACGCAACUUCAGUGGUGAAGCAGAACAGGAGCCCUUUGUUCAGUUUUAUUAGCCAAUAUAAUUUUUUGGAGCAUGUAAACAGCGUAUAAAUGUUUUAAGCAGGUAGUAAAUUAAUUAUCCUUAUGAUCGAGUAUGCCGUGUCUGUUGCUUCCCUGCAGGCUGCAUACACUGCAGAUAUAUUCUAGAACUGAAACUGAUAAAGAUUUACUUUGAUGAUUAUUUAGACAUUGCCAUGUAUUUCUACAUGGCCAAUUUUCUUUUGUCUUUGUACACUCAGCUGAAGGAAUUGGACAUCGUUUGGAUGAAGGCCAAGAUAAGUAGGAACCAGAGCAGCAACUCCUUUCAUGCCCACUGCCUAGUACCCUCUGUUCAAUUCAAGGAAUUGGUGGAUGAAGUACUCAAGGUAAUUAAGCAAAGCAGAAGCACCAGGUAAUUCAGCAAAAUCGAUUCCUACUCCAACCUGUCACUCUCCUCGGCAUCCCAGCGAUCGAGAUCCAGAUUAAAUGUAGUGCUUCCUCCAAAUCAAGUGCUCAAGUGCUUCUUCUCAACGUGAGCUAUUCAGUGAAGAUUUGGUUGGGCUCACAUCACAGAUUUGACAUUUGAGCUGCAAGAAUGGGGCUUCUGUUCUAGGGAUAAAUUUCUGUUACAAUUGUUAUAUUGAUUUGCAUUUUGCAAUGAAGUCCAGUUGUAAAUCAAGCAAAUGAUCUAUACAUGAAAAUAAAUGAUUUGUGAGAGAAAUGGAUUCCGUAUUGCCAUGGUUGAUGUGGAUGUAAGAAUUUAUGGGUAAUUGGAGGCGGUUCAGAGUUCUUUUGGACAUAAUCUGCUACAAAGUUCAAAGUUCUGUUGGUGUCGAGGCCAGUAGUGCUUCUUAUAGUUAUGUCCCAGUUUGAAUGGAAGCAGCACCUUGCCAAUGAGUUGGAAUCUACAGCUCGCAACCAGAAACGUAUUUCAAGUAGAGAAGAGUUCGUCAAGGAUAGGAAUUGUGCAAUCAUUUUCUCCUGUCGAUGCAAUGGCCUUUUCUUGAGGUGGCUUGCAAGGGUGCUGCUGCUUUGUGUCGUACGUGGCUGCAUCUGCCAUCUGUUCAUGUAACGAUAGGAGAUGUGGCUCAUGGAAUGGUGAAGGCAUGGCUUCUGCAUCCUUGAUGUCCGUGGUGAGCUCUUCCUCCCAAUUCUCCAUCCCAAAUAUUCGGCCUCUUCCUGUAUGUAACUACCUUGGACGUGUGUGUGUGUUGAGAUCUUGUAUAUUUUUUAUUAUGUUCAGCAAUGGUAGAAGAAUGCGGGAUUGCUUCUCAAGGAUUGUAGUCCCGUGCCAAGAUAUUUUACUGUGAUAUGGCCACUGCGUACAAUAUGUUUGUUGAAAUAUUUUUCUGGUUUUUUCUUUA